rnacentral:piRNA from 1 species
UGCGUCGUUGAACUUCAAACA